rnacentral:tRNA from 1 species
UUCAGUUUGGCAGAGUUUAAUGCAAUAAAUUUAGAAUUUAUCUAGGAAUUAUAUUCAAUUGAAA